CAAUGGCACCCUAUUCCCUACAUAGUGCUCUACUUUUGGGCCCAGUCAAAAGUAGUGCACUAUGUAGGGAAUAGGGUGCCAUUG
rnacentral:pre_miRNA from 1 species